rnacentral:ribozyme from 1 species
GUUACUUCAGUCUGUGAAGAUAGAAGUAAUCGUUCUUACUGUGAGAAUCAGUGACAAACAUGUGGGGCUUAUAUCUAAUCAUUUUAGAGGGCAGUAUUACUGUCGUCUAAAGGUAGGUGGAGGAGAUUAGUAUUAGUGCAGACGUUAAAACCAUGU